GUUCUGGUGGCCUAGUGGUUCGAGUCUCUGCCUCAGAUGCAGGAGGUUGCAGGUUUGAACCCUGGCCACGUCA